CAGAACCCAACCCAGGUGGGCACAGCGUUGCAAGUCUUUUAUAACCUUGGCAGUUUAAGAGAAACCAUCAACUUUGUUGUGGAAGGCUACAAAACCACCAUAAAGGACAACAUUGGCAGCGCUCUUGACAUCAAGGGUUUAACAAAACCAGCUAACCCCAGAGGUGCUCCUGGCAGAGCAGUGAUGCCAACACCAGGAAACACUGCGGUUUUUCGUGCUGCGUUAUGGACACAUCUGGAGAAACUAAUGGACCAGAUAUGUGCUGCAUGUAGACAGGUGCAGCACCUGCAGAAGGUUUUGAUGAAGAAGAGAGACCCUGUCAGUCAUGUCUGCUUCAUUGAUGACAUUAGCAAGGAUGGUCAACCCGAUAUUCUCUCCACUUUUUGGAACGAUGUAACCAGCACACUGAGUCGUGAGUUUCACAAAGCAACUGAAGGUAAGAGGUGUCUUUUCUUGGUGUUAUGUCUGG